UACGAAGGGGGCUAGCGUUGUUCGGAAUCACUGGGCGUAAAGCGCACGUAGGCGGAUUGUUAAGUCGGGGGUGAAAUCCUGAGGCUCAACCUCAGAACUGCCUUCGAUACUGGCAAUCUCGAGUCCGGAAGAGGUUGGUGGAACAGCUAGUGUAGAGGUGAAAUUCGUAGAUAUUAGCUAGAACACCAGGUGGCGAAGGCG
rnacentral:rRNA from 1 species